GGAGUCUGGAUGAAGUUUACCAUUAGUCGAGGUCGGGGAUGAAGUCCGGCUCCUAUAGGAGUUCGGGCGGAGUCUUCCCGUAGCCAGAGUUGGAGACGAGGUCUGGCUCCCGUAAGAGUCUGGGUGAAGUCUACCUGCAAUUAGAAUCAGGGACGAAGUCCGGCUCCCGUGGGAGUCCGGACGAAGUUUACCAUUAGUCG
rnacentral:lncRNA from 1 species